rnacentral:rRNA from 1 species
CUUGGUCAUUUAGAGGAAGUAAAAGACGAAACAAGGUUUCCGUAGGUGAACCUGCGGAAGGAUCAUUU